GUUGUCACUUUGGCAGUACAUGUACUAAAACUGGAAUGACACAGAGAUUAGCAUGGCCCCUGUGCAAGGAUGACACACAAAUUCAUGAAGUGUUCCAUAUUUUU